rnacentral:rRNA from 1 species
UGGGGAAUAUUGCACAAUGGGCGAAAGCCUGAUGCAGCAACGCCGCGUGAGUGAUGAAGGCCUUCGGGUUGUAAAGCUCUGUCUUUUGGGACGAUAACGACGGUACCAAAGGAGGAAGCCACGGCUAACUACGUGCCAGCAGCCGCGGUAAUACGUAGGUGGCAAGCGUUGUCCGGAUUUACUGGGCGUAAAGGAUGCGUAGGCGGAUUUUUAAGUGAGAUGUGAAAUACCCGGGCUUAACUUGGGUGCUGCAUUUCAAACUGGGAAUCUAGAGUGCGGGAGAGGAGAAUGGAAUUCCUAGUGUAGCGGUGAAAUGCGUAGAGAUUAGGAAGAACACCAGUGGCGAAGGCGAUUCUCUGGACGUAACUGACGCUGAGGCAUGAAAGCGUGGGUAGCAAACAGGAUUAGAUACCCUGGUAGUCCACGCCGUAAACGAUGAGUACUAGGUGUAGGAGGUAUCGACCCCUUCUGUGCCGCAGUUAACACAAUCAAGUACUCCGCCUGGGAGGUACGAUCGCAAGAUUAAAACUUAAAUGAAUUGACGGGGUCAUAGCUG